CUUGAACUUUAUAAGAGGUCCAGCCUGCCCAGUGACUCUGUUCAACGGCCGCGGUAUCCUAACCGUGCGAAGGUAGCGUAAUCACUUGUUCUUUAAAUGUGGACUAGUAUGAAUGGCACUACGAGGGUUAUACUGUCUCCUCUUUCUAAUCAGUGAAACUAAUUUUCCCGUGAAGAAGCGAGAAUACAAUUAUAAGACGAGAAGACCCUAUGGAGCUUUAAACAACCUAGCAAUUACUUCUAAAUAAUAAAUUUCAGAAUACUCAUUUUUUAAGCAAUAUGUCUGCAAGUUUUUGGUUGGGGUGACCAUGGAGAAUAACACAACCUCCAUAUUGAAUGAAUUUUCAUUCUAAGCUAAAAAUUACUAAUUGAAGCAUCAACACACUGACAUCUAUUGACCCAAUAUAUUUGAUCAACGAACCAAGUUACC
rnacentral:rRNA from 1 species